GAGUGUACACCACAGUCUCUAUGUUGACUGAGUGGCAAAAUAUACUUCACACUCUUUAAAUAGAAUGAAAUGCACUAAUGAAUAUAACUGACAGUUCUUUUUGUUUUGUUUCUUUGUUUUUUGUUAAUUUUUAUUGAUUCUUUGUGACUGUCAUACCAUGCACCUCAACCUCACUCAUCUCCCCAUUCCUUCAUAUCCAUCCUCUAACCUUGCAGCCUUCUUCCCAAAAGAAAAUUAAAUAAGAUGGAAUUUUAAAAAAUUCUUGUCUUGGAGGGCUGUAGUGUGUCACACAGUACACCCUUUUUGUGCAUAUAUCUUUGUUUGCAAAUGCUCAUUGCAAUGAGUCAUUGGUUAGGUUUAAGGCCUUUGGCUUCUGCUACGGUAGCUCUAAUGGACCCUCACACCUUUCAUGCACUCCAGCAGAUUAUAAAUGGGGCAGAUGUGCGGAUGAGCCAACUUAAAGCCCGGCAUCUGGGCCUAGGUGGUAGCUCACCUGUGCACGCACCUCCCGGCAAUGACACGGCUAACUUAACUUCUGCAUUCAGCAAAGGGCAGGGUCAGCUCUCCUGCUCUCAUAUCCUCCUGGCUGACUCACCUAUGCCUUAGCUACUGGGGCCAAAUCUACGGUGCUGCCCAGUCAAGGGUCAGGUCCCUGUUUUCCUUAGUGUGCAGCCAGUGAGGGGUUGGCCAGCAUUCUUGCUCUCAAGACCUCAGGGCCAGGUCAUCUGCCUGUGGCAGCAAUGAGAGGCAGGGUGUGUGUGCGUGUGUGUGUGUGUGUGUGUGUGUUUGUGUGUUUGUGUGUAUGAGUAUAUGGGGCAUCUUGGGGCAGGAUUGGCUCUCCUGUUCUUUCUCUCCCAGGGUCAGUUCUAAUGUGUUGCCCAGGCAAGUGGCAGAGUCAACUCUCCUGAGUGUGACAGCUGGCUGGAGAGUGGUGGGGUCAGCUUAGCAUGGUGCCUGAGGCAGCAGUCCAGACCAGGAGCAUCUGCAUGGCCAUUGGUGGUAACAUGAGCCUUGAAUAUCAAUGCAGACUGACCCCAGCUAUAAUAGGACCAUGUACCCCAUGGCUCCCAGCAGCAGUUUGGGACAAAAUGUCUCCAUGACCUCAGAUGGCAGCACAGGCCACUCAUAUCGGCUUGUUCCUCCUCAGCAACUUGGCCCUCAGUUACCCACAUGGUCUAUGGUGUCAGCCAAAGCCACGGACAUCUGACAUCUGCUUAGCCUUUGGUGGUAACUCGGGCCAGAGACAUUGACACAGACACUAGCUACAGCAGGAUCAAGAACCCAAAUAUGGCUACUGGUGGCAGACAACCAGGGCCAGGACCUCCCCAAGCCCUCUUCAUACUUAUCUGUUCCUUACUGCCCUCUCGUCUCCAAUUCCACAUUUCUCCGUUGUACAAACUCCCCGGCUUUGCUUUCUCUUUCACCUCUCCAUCAUGCACUCCAUCUUUUCCAUCCAUUCAUCCACCAUAGUGUGCCUGCCACAGGAGCAUGGUUGUCUUCCAGCUGCUACAGGUACUUGGGGUAUUAAAUAUUACAUUGUGACUACCUAAUAUUUUUCUGUAUAGGG
rnacentral:lncRNA from 1 species